AAAAAGUAUUUUCAGAGAUAAGGAGGAACAUUUCAUAACCAUAAUAGGAUAACUUCUUCAAGAAAGUAUAACAAUCCUAAAUGUGUAUGUACCUAAUAACAAAAUUUCAAAAUACAUGAAGUAAAAAUUAAUAAAACUAGAAAGACAAAUCCAUAAUCAUAUUUGGAGAUUUUAAGCCCUCUUACUUUGCUGGAAGAAGUAGUGAUAUAGAAAGCUUAACAACACUAUCAGCCCCCUUGAACUACUUGUUAUUUAUAGAGAACUAUACACAAAAAUGACAAGUAGAAAAUUAAUAAGGAUAGAAUAUAUUCUGUCAUAAAAUAAGCUUUGAGAAAUUUUAAAAUUUUGAAAUCAUGCAGACUGUUGUUUCCUGCAUGAUUUAUUACAUUAGAAAUCACUUUAAGAUAUAUAGAAUCCCACCCCCAUGUCUCAACUACUUUAAAAUUAAAUGGUACACUUAUAAAUAUCUCACAGAUCAAAUAAGAAACCACAAGAAAAGCAAAUAAAAAGUGCUUUGAACUAAGUGAUAAAGCUUAAAAUAUCAGAAUCUCUGGAAUGAAAUAGUACUCAGAUGAACACUUAUAACAAAGUGUUUGUAUCAGAAAGAAGCUUGAUUAACAAAUUAUUUUCAAAUUAGGUCGUAGGAAGGAAAAAAAAAGAGUAGGAGCAGAAAUAUGUGAAACAGAAAAGAAAUAAUACAACUAAAAGUUGGUAAAAAUCUAACAAGUCAAAUCAAGAAAAAAUAUUAGUGGAAAGGGAGCUAUCAAAACAACCCUUCAGAUGCUAAAAAUGUAUUAAGGCAACAUUACAAUCAUAUAAGUACAAUUGUAUAGCUUAUAUAACUUGUUCUAUUUUAGAGGAUAGAAACCCCUGAGAUCCAUGUAAGUGGUAUGUUUUUUCCCAUCCUUUCAUUUUCAGUCUGUGGAUGUCUUUGCCUAUGAGGUGAGUCUUUUGGAGACAAUAUGUUGUUGGGUCUUGUUUUUUAAUGCAGUCUGCCAAUCUAUAUCUUUUGAUUGAUGGAUUUAGGCCUUUAAUAUUUCAAGGCUAUUAUUGAG
rnacentral:lncRNA from 1 species